UACGUAGGGGGGCAAGCGUUUGUCCGGAUUUAUUGGGCGUAAAGAGCGUGUAGGCGGUUUGGUAGGUCCGCUGUGAAAACUCGAGGCUCAACCUCGAGACGCCGGUGGAAACCAUCAGACUAGAGUCCGGAAGAGGAGAGUGGAAUUCCUGGUGUAGCGGUGAAAUGCGCAGAUAUCAGGAAGAACACCCGUGGCUAAGGCGGCUCUCUAGUACGGUACUGACGCUGAGACGCGAAAGCGUGGGGGAGCGAACAGGGAUAGAU
rnacentral:rRNA from 1 species